rnacentral:piRNA from 1 species
UAUUUCUCCCUUUUUAUGUAG